CUGGGGUUAAUCGGGGGGUUAGGGGUACUACUGACCUGGCUAUAGGAGAGGUGAGCCUGGGGUUAAUCUGGGGUUAGGGUUACUACUGACCUGGUUAUAGGAGAGGUGAGCCUGGGGUUAAUCUGGGGUUAGGGUUACUACUGACCUGGUUAUAGGAGAGGUGAGCCUGGGGUUAAUCGGGGGUUAGGGUUACUACUGACCUGGUUAUAGGAGAGGUGAGCCUGGGGUUAAUCUGGGGUUAGGGUUACUACUGACCUGGUUAUAGGAGAGGUGAGCCUGG